rnacentral:rRNA from 1 species
GAUAAACGCUAGCGGCAGGCUUAACACAUGCAAGUCGAGCGGCAGCAUAGAUUGUAGCAAUACAAUUGGUGGCGACCGGCGCACGGGUGUGUAGCGCGUAUGCAACCUGCCCGUCACAGGGGGAUAAUACGGAGAAAUCUGGUCUAAUACCCCAUAACAUAUGGAUCGGCAUCGGUUCAUGUUGAAAUUGUCGGUGGUGACGGAUGGGCAUGCGUAGCAUUAGCUUGUUGGUGAGGUAACGGCUCACCAAGGCGACGACGCUGAGGGGGACGGAGAGGUUUUACCCCCACACUGGUACUGAGCCACGGACCAGACUCGUACGGGAGGCAGCAGUGAGGAAUAUUGGUAAAUGGGCGCAAGCCUGAACCAGCCAUGCCGCGUGCAGGAUGACGGCUCUAUGAGUUGUAAACUGCUUUUGUACGAGGGUAAAGUGGGUUACGUGUAACCUUUUGAAAGUAUCGGACGAAUAAGGAUCGGCUAACUCCGUGCCAACAGCCGCCGUAA